UGAAGAAUCUUGGGCAAUGGAAGAAAUUCUGACCCAGUGAGAAUACGUGUAUGAUGAAUACGUCCAGUUUUUUGUAAAGUACUUUCAGCGAUGAAGAAAACGUCAGCAGUCGCAGUAAGAAGUGCUGGCUAACUCCGUGCCAGCAGCCGCGGUAAGACGGAGAGCGCGGGCGUUAUUCGUUUUGAUUGGGUGUAAAGGGUACGUAGGCUGCUGUAGACAAUACCUAACCUAAAUUGCGGAGUGUUCCUACGUAAAGGUUAUUAAAAGAAACAGCUUGAGUUGAGGAUAGGUAGGAGAAAUUCCCUGUGUAGGGGUAGAAUCCUGCCAGAUAGGGAAGAAGGCCAGCUGGCGAAGGCGUCCCUCUAGUCUCAACUGACGCUCAGGUACGAAAGUGUAGGGAGCAAACA
rnacentral:rRNA from 1 species